AUAAAUAUCCCGCCUUUCCGGUGCGCCGCAGCGUAUCAUUUGGGCUGAGGGCUGCGGCGUGCCGGAUGGGUAAGGGUGGAAGGGUGGUGUAAGAGACUACCGCCUUUCUGGUAACAGAAAGGGCAUAUGUAAACCCCAUCCGAAGCAAGACCGAGCAGAAGCGUUGACGUGGCCCGCCAGCUUCAGGUAGGUCGCUUGAGGCGGCUGGCAACAGCCGUCCUAGACAGAUGAUCAUUCCAGACAUAACCCGGCUUACAGUCCUGCUUGCUGU
rnacentral:RNase_P_RNA from 1 species